rnacentral:rRNA from 1 species
UACGUAGGGACCAAGCGUUGUUCGGAUUUACUGGGCGUAAAGGGCGUGCAGGCGGUCUGUUAAGUCUAGGGUGAAAGCUCCCGGCUCAACUGGGAGAGGUCCUUGGAUACUGGCGGACUUGAGGGAUGCAGAGGAAAGUGGAAUUCCCGGUGUAGUGGUGAUAUGCGUAGAUAUCGGGAGGAACACCAGUGGCGAAGGCGGCUUUCUGGGCAUUUCCUGACGCUGAGACGCGAAAGCGUGGGGAGCGAACCGG